CCCCGAGACAAGGCCCGGCCUCCCAGCCUCGCGCCCUCCUGGCCGCCUCCGCGCGGGCGGCCUCCCUGAGGGCGGGAUGACAGUCUAACUCGCACUGACAGCCAGAAAAAAGAUGGAUAACAUUCUGAUGCGGUUCAAAGAAAGCCUCGAGGACAGAGGGGUCCAACAAUGCUGGAAGUGACCAAACAAAAUAGUGGUCGAGGAGAAGUCGAAGACAAGUCAGGACUACCUUCACACAAACCAGUUUAUCCAAAGUGUAGCACCUCAAUUUGGCAAUAAAAACAAUACUGCAAUUGCUGGAGAACGGAAGCACAAAAUGCUGGAAAAACUCAGCAAGUCUGGCAGCAUCUGUGAAGAGACAAAAAUAGUUAAUAUUGAGUCUGAAAUGAUUCUUCUUUUAGAACUAAGCUAUGUAGCUCAACCUUGGCUGUCAAUCUUUAUAUUUCUUAUUCUCUGUACUUUCUAUGUUUGAAAUUCUGAAGACCUCAAGAUAUGGAACGAGUAAUAUCUAAUCCAAUUUCUGGGUACAUCCACAUCUCUGCUGGCAUCAGCAUUUCAACAUGGAGAUCGAAUGGAUCAGGCCGAGUAGGGGUGGAAUGGGCCUACUGAGUUGCAAUGCGUGGGCCCGGCUUGAACCAGUGCCCCCGCCCGGUCCUGUUCCAGCUGCAGAGCCACAAGGAGAGGCAGAUGCUCUUAGAAGCUUCCAGAAAUCUAGGUAAGAUCCCCGAGCCAUGAUUUACAAAGGAUCCAAGAUUAUGCAAUUCCAGGAUUUCUCCCCAGGUUUGGUCUGAAAGAGGAAGGCGUUUGACAAAGCAAAGAAGCGUUGAGGGGACUUAAACAUCCACUACUCCCUGCGCUACCCAGCGGUGCUACGUUUUAGCCAUGAAGGGUCCAUGCACAACUUCGGAUUGCCAGAGAAGGCCAAGGAAUUUCUGGACUCUCUUAGAUAAAUUGUAAGAGUUAAUUCGAGUGGUGAAUGAUGUUGUUCUGACCUACCCCCCACCCCGGUUCAUCCCUUUUUUUUCCCCUUUUAUUACCUUACUGUUUAAUAUUAUCUCCAAGAGGAGUUUAUUUAUUUGUUCUUCACUUAGUGAUUCCCCCUUUUUUUUAUAUAUAUAUAUGCCAGGUGGUCUAGUUAAUGUAGGUGGGGGAGGUGGUUACCUUAUCCUAUUUUAUCUCUGUCUUUAAUAGCAGGGCUGUUUUCCCCUGUUAUUUUGUAUUACUAUAUUUAAUUAUUAUUUGUUGAGACUGUAAUUUUAUAGUUAUAUAUGUUCAUGCAUGGCAUUAACAUUACCAAAUAUAUGUAGGUGUUGGUGUAAGUGGGGGGGGUGGUUUAGGGUACUCACUGUUAACUUUAUCUCUGUAGUAUAUUUGAAUUUUCUUUAUUUUAUCGUGGAGUGCCUGGGUCAAGGUUGGGGCACUGGUUGGUAGAGGAUAUGAUGGGCGUUCGGAAAGGAAGUGAUGCCCCCUGGGAACAAGGGGGAAAAUCUCCGUUUAAAAAUGUUUUAUAUUUUUUCUAUUUAGAAAUAGUUUUUUUAUUAUACAGGAGCGCCUCGACUUACGAACUUAAUCCGUUCCAGGACCCAGUUCGGGAACCGAAACAAUGUUCCCAUCGUUCAGAUAUUUCCGGAGUCUUUUCUCUUUUUUAUCUCUUGGAGGUUGGUGAUGCCACAAGAAAACGAUCCAGAGAAACUUGUUUUUUUCUUUGUUGCAGAAUUUGGAACAAUUUAAAAUGUUCACUGCUCUGUUGGUCACAGUUUUGUUAGGGUGACGCCUCUAUACAAAAGCCUGCAUUUCAAUCCAUUUGCUACAAAUGUCUUUGAUUUGAACACUUGAUACACCUUCCCUCUCUUCUUCCUCCUCUCCAGAAUGCUCCUGCUGCAUAACCUUCACCUGCUCCUGUUGCAAUUCAACAAGAUCUUCUGUGCUGGGUUCUUGUCUGUGGUCCUCCACCAGCUCCACCACAUCAUCCUCGUUGACCUCCAAGCCCAUAUUUUGGCCCAGGGUCACAAUCUCAUUCACUACAUUUACUGAUGUCUCCUCCUCUAACCCCUCAAAGUCUCUCUCAGGUACACAAUCUGGGCAAAGUUUCCUUCAGGCCGACUGCAACGUACGGAAAGAGACCUCGUUCCAUGCCUUAUCAAUAAGGCUUAUGCAGUGGAGGAUAUUGAAGUGGUCCUUCCAGUACUGACCAAGGUCAAAUCUGUGUCGUUGGUGACCUGGAAACACCUGGCAAACACAGCCUUCGUAUAUAAUGUUUUGAAAUUUGCAAUGACAUGCUGGUCCAUGGGUUGGAUGAGAGGAGUGGUAUUGAGAGGAAGGAACUUUACUUUUAUGAAAUCGUAUUCAAUGUCCAAGUCUUCUUCCAAAUUUGGAGGAUGGGCAGGAGCAUUGUCCAUUACUAGAUGACAUUUAAGUGGCAAAUUAUUUUUUUCAAGGUAUUCCUUGACAGCUGGUGCAAAAACUUCCGUCAACCAUUCCAUAAAAAUCAUUUGCGUGACCCAAGCCUUGCUAUUCGUCCUCCACAUUACCGGGAGUUUAGCCUUCAACACAUUAUUGCAUUUAAAAACGCGAGGAUUUUCAGAGUGGUAGACUAACAGAGGCUUAAUCUUGCAAUCCCCACUUGCAUUCGCACACAAUAAAAGUGUAUACCUGUCCUUCAUUGGUCUGUGGCCCGGUAGUGCCUUCUCCUCUUGGGUUAUGUAGGUUCUUUUGGGAAUUUUUUUCCAGAAAAGUCCAGUUUCAUCACAGUUAAAACCUUUUUGUGAGCCAUAACCUUCAUCUUUGACAAACUUAUUGAAUUCCUUCAGAAAGUUCUCUGCUGCCUUUUUGUCCGAACUAGCCGCUUCUCCAUGCCUUACAACACUAUGGAUUCCAGUUUUUUAUUAGAUUACUUACAGUAUGGAAACAGGCCCUUCGGCCCAACAAGUCCACACCGACCUGCCGAAGCGCAACCCAUCCCCCUACAUUUACCCCUUCACCUGACACUAUGGGCAAUUUAGCGUGGCCAUUUCACCUAACCUGUACAUUUUUGGACUGUGGGAGGAAACCGGAGCACCCGGAGGAAACCCACGCAGACAAGGGGAGAAUGUGCAAACUCCACACAGUCAGUCGCCUGAGGCAGGAAUUGAACCCUGGUCUCUGGCGCUGUGAGGCAGCAGUGCUAACCACCGUGCCAUCCACGUCGACGAAAUUUAUCAAACGAGCCUCUGCUGGCUUUAAAUUCUUCAAUGCUAGCAGUGCUUGUACUCGGCGGUUUCGCCAACAAAUCACGGUGUAUGUGUAGAGCCUUCUCGCAGAUUAUAGUCUUGUUAAUACGAUCUCCAGCAAGCUCUUUUUGAUUUAUCCAAACUAAUAAUAAUUUUUCAAUUAAAUAGCUUCGUUUAAAUAGCCACUCCUUUAGCUACGUCAGCUGCCUUUAGUGCCUCUUUCUUCUUUAGGAUAGUACAGAUAGUCGAUUUCGCCAUGUCGUACUGCAUAGCGAGAUCAAAUACGCGAGCACCAUUUUCGUGUUUAGCUAUUAUUUCCUUCUUCGUUUCCACAGUAAUACAUUUAGGCUUCUUAACACCACUAUCAUUACCACUUUUCACUUUCUUGGGAGCCAUAAUGAGGACUAAUUUAAUGCAAAAAAAACCAAAAAAAAGCAUAAGAAUGCUUGGACGUAGCAACAAACGAUGUUCACAGCGCGCGACUAACUGAAUGAGAUCUCGCGGGGCCUGAGAGCUUUUGCGUUCAAAGCACUCGUAGCAAAGCAGAACAAUGACAGUGAAACCACAGGCUUUUUGCGUUCGUACCUUCGUUCGUACCUUGAAUUUCGUACGUAUGUUGAAGCAAAAUUUUACGUACAAUCCUGUUCGUAAACCGAUGUGUUCGUGAACAGGGUCAUUCGUAUGUCGAGGCCCUACUGUAUUGAUGUGAGUGUAUUAAAGAACCUCUACUUUUGUGAAUUUUAUAUGUUCUAUUCUUGGAUGUUUGGAUGGGUCUUCUUCUCACGAGGGGUCUCAGACUUGCCUGGACAAUUAUGGUUACUCAUUCAAUUAAAUGAUGCACCUGGAA